ensembl:lncRNA
GGUGGAAUGGAGUAAAAGCGGUGCACGGCGCUGUGUGUGCGCGUUGUUGGGGUGGGGAGGGUGCAAGGGGUGCACGUGGCGAUGCACGGGUCGCAGCGGGGUCGCAGCGGGCUUGCGUUGCCAUGCACGGGGUGCAAAUCUCCUGCACGGUACAUUCCCGUUGCAAUGCACAGCAAUGAUAACAGGGGGUCCACUGCACCUGCAUUGCAGUGCUCUGGGUGCAGAGUGUUCAGGGUGUGAUGCAUGAGUUGCAAUGCGCUUGCGUUGCCAUGCACGGGGUGCAAAUCUCCAGAGCAAUCCAUUCCCAUUGCAAUGCACAGCAAUGACACAGGGGGUCCACUACACCUGCACUGUAGUGCUCUGGGUGCAAAGUGUUCAGGGUGUGAUGCAUGAGUUGCAAUGGGCUUGCAUUGCAAUGCACGGGGUGCAAAUCUCCAGCACAGUACAUUCCCGUUGCAAUGCACAGCAAUGACAACAGGGGGUCCACUGCACCUGCAUUGCAGCGCUCUGGGUGCAGAGUGUUCAGGGUGUGAUGCACGGGUUGCAAUGCGCUUGCGUUGCGAUGCAUGGGGUGCAAAUCUCCAGAGCAAUCCAUUCCCAUUGCAAUGCACAGCAAUGACACAGGGGGUCCACUACACCUGCACUGUAGUGCUCUGGGUGCAAAGUGUUCAGGGUGUGAUGCAUGAGUUGCAAUGGGAUUGCGUUGCAAUGCACGGGGUGCAAAUCUCCAGCACAGUCCAUUCCCAUUACAAUGCCCAGCAGCAGUGCAGGGGUGUAAACUGCACUCAUUGCAGUCCUCUGGGUGGAAGGUACUCAGGCUCUGAUACAUGGGUUGCAAUGGGCUUGUGUUGUGAUGCACGGGAUGCAAAUGUUGGAGGCAACACGUGCAUGGAGCAAUGUGCAGGAGGAGUGCAGGAGGUGCUAAGUGCACUCGUUGCAAUCCUCUGGGUGUAAGGUGUUCCAGGUGCAAUGCACAUGUUGCAAUGCACUUGCAUUCUGAUGCCCGGGCUGCAAAUCUCCAACACCAUCCAUUCCCAUUGCAAUACACAGCAGCAGUGCAGGAGGUGCAAACUGCACUCAUUGCAAUCCUCUGGGUGCAAGGUGUUCCAGGUGCAAUGCACGGGUUGCAAAGUGCUUGCAUUGUGAUGCACAGGAUGCAAAUGUUGCAGGCAACACGUGCCCAUUGCAAUGCACAGCAGCAGUGCAGGAGCUGCAAAGUGGCUGCGUUGCAACCAUCGAGGUGUGAGGUGCUCACGUUGCAAUGCACAUGUUGCAAUGAGUUUGCAUUCUGAUGCACGGGCUGCCAAUCUCCAGCACAAUCCCUUCCCGUUGCAAUGCACAGCAGCAGUGCAGGAGCUGCCAAGUAGCUGCGUUGCAACCCUCGAAGUGUGCAGUGCUCACGUUGCAAUGCACGUGUUGCAAUGGGCUUGCAUUCUGAUGCACGGGCUGCAAAUCUCCAGCACAACCCAUUCCCAUUGCAAUGCACAGCAGCAGUGCAGGAGCUGCCAAGUAGCUGUGUUGCAACCCUCGAGGUGUGCAGUGCUCACGUUGCAAUGCACGUGUUGCAAUGGGCUUGCAUUCUGAUGCACGGGCUGCCAAUCUCCAGCACAAUCCCUUCCCGUUGCAAUGCACAGCAGCAGUGCAGGAGCUGCCAAGCAGCUGCGUUGCAACCCUCGAGGUGUGCGGUGCUCACGUUGCAAUGCACGUGUUGCAACGAGGUUGCAUUCCUAUGCACGGGCUGCAAAUCCCAGUAUGACCCCAUUGCCCCCCCAUUCUAAUCCCAGUUUAAUCCCAGUAUAACCCCAUUAUAACCCCAUUACAAUCCCAUUGCCGCCUCAUUCUAAUCCCAGUAUAACCCCAUUAUACUCCCAGUAUGAUCCCAAUAGAACCCCAUUCUAAUCCCAGUAUAACCCCAUUGCCCCCAUUGGAAUCCCAUUACCACCCCAUUCUAAUCCCAGUAUGAUCCCAGUACAACCCCAUUAUAACCCCAUUAUAAUCCCAUUGCCCCCCAUUCUAACCCCAUUAGAACCCCAUUCUAAUCCCAUUUUAACCCCAUUGCCCCCAUUGUAAUCCCAUUCUCACCCCAUUCUAAUCCCAGUUUAAUCCCAGUAUAACCCCACUAUAACCCCAGUAUAACCCCAUUCUAAUCCCAGUAUAACCCCAUUAUAACCCCAUUAUAAUCCCAUUGCCGCCUCAUUCUAAUCCCAGUAUAACCCCAUUAUACUCCCAGUAUGAUCCCAAUAUAACCCCAUUAUAAUCCCAGUAUAACCCCAUUGCCCCCAUUGGAAUCCCAUUCUCACCCCAUUCUAAUCCCAGUAUGAUCCCAGUACAACCCCAUUAUAACCCCAUUAUAAUCCCAUUAUAAUCCCAUUGCCCCCCAUUCUAAUCCCAUUAGAACCCCAUUCUAAUCCCAGUAUAACCCCAUUGCCCCCAUUGUAAUCCCAUUCUCACCCCAUUCUAAUCCCAGUUUAAUCCCAUUAUAACCCCAUUCUCACCCCAUUCUAAUCCCAGUAUAAUCCCAUUAUAACCCCAUUCUAAUCCCAUUACCCCCUCAUUCUAAUCCCAUUAUAACCCCAUUAUAAUCCCAUUCUAAUCCCAAUAUAACCCCAUUCUAAUCCCAGUAUGAUCCCAUUAUAACCCCAUUAUAAUCCCAUUGCCCCCCAUUCUAAUCCCAGUAUAACCCCAUUCUAAUCCCAGUAUGAUCCCAAUGGAACCCCAUUAUAACGCCAUUCUAACCCCAUUGGCCUCUCAUUCAAAUCCCAAUAGAACCCCAUUUUAAUCCCAGUAUGAUCCCAGUAUAAUCCCAUUAUAAUCCCAGUACAACUCCAUUGCCCCCCAUCAUAAUCCCAUCAUAACCCCACUAUAAUCCCAUUGCCCCCCCAUUCUAAUCCCAGUAUAACCCCAUUCUAAUCCCAGUAUGAUCCCAGUAUAACCCCAUUAUAAUCCCAGUAUGACCCCAUUGCCCCCCAUUAUAAUCACAGUAGAACCCCAUUAUAACCCCAUUUUAAUCCCAUUGCCCCUCAUUCUAAUCCCAAUACAACCCCAUUAUAACCCCAUUGCCCCCCCACUGUAAUCCCAAUAGAACCCCAUUACAACCCCAUUAUAAUCCCAGUGCCCCCCUAUUUAAUCCCAAUACAGCCCCUUAUAACCCCAUUACAAUCCCAUUGCCCCCCCCCCCAUUUAAUCCCAAUACAACCCAUUAUAACACCACUGUAAUCCCAUUGCCCCCCCAAUACAACCCCAUUAUAACCCCAUUACCCCC